rnacentral:sRNA from 1 species
UCGUCUAUGUGAAUUUGCUUUGUUUUCUAAGCAAUAGUGAAACAUGUCGAAUCCAUUUUUUUUAUUGUGAACAUAUCUGUGAUAAAUUUUGAUGAAAGGUUUCUGUUCUGCCAUAUUUUGAACAUUUUUAUUGCAUAUUUGUUUGAUAUAUUUAUCUAUAAAUAUUUGUUUUAUUUGAAUAUGUAUAUAAUUGUUGAUUGUUAUCAAUUUUAUUUGUUAUUGCUUUUAAAAAAAUUCUUUAAUUUCUAUUAUAUAUUAUGAUAUCAUUUAAGUCAAUAAAGAAAUGCAUUUAUUACUAGAACUGCACUUCUGGUUGAAGAAAAUGUCAUUAAUUAUAGGCGUGUUAUGAUGUUUUACUUUGAAUGGAAACCUUGAAAAGGUUGUUUUCGAAACUGUAUCCCCACAUUGUGAUAGCAAAACGAAUCUUUAAAUACAAAAAAAAGUAUUUUAUAAGAUAAGGAAAUUAUAUUCAAAUUUUGCUCAUAAUAUGCUGUGAUAUUUCAUACGAAUAUUUUCAUGAAAAGGUUUACUUAUAUCAAUGAAAUAAAUUGCUGACCAUG